rnacentral:rRNA from 1 species
CCUACGGGUGGCAGCAGUGAGGAAUAUUGGUCAAUGGGCGAGAGCCUGAACCAGCCAAGUCGCGUGAAGGAUGAAGGAUCUAUGGUUUGUAAACUUCUUUUAUAUGGGAAUAAAGUGAGGAACGUGUUCCUUUUUGUAUGUACCAUAUGAAUAAGCAUCGGCUAACUCCGUGCCAGCAGCCGCGGUAAUACGGAGGGUGCAAGCGUUGUCCGGAAUCAUUGGGCGUAAAGAGUUCGUAGGCGGCAUGUAAAGUCAGGUGUUAAAGGCGCAGGCUCAACCUGUGUAUGGCACUUGAUACUUGCAAGCUGGAAUGCGGUAGAGGUAAAGGGAAUUCCUGGUGUAGCGGUGAAAUGCUUAGAUAUCAGGAGGAACAUCGGUGGCGUAAGCGCUUUACUGGGCCGUAAUUGACGCUGAGGAACGAAAGCCAGGGUAGCAAAUGGGAUUAGAUACCCUUGUAGUC